rnacentral:rRNA from 1 species
CGUUGGCGGCGUGGAUUAGGCAUGCAAGUCGAACGAAUCCCAGCCUCUCACCCUGCCCUCGCCCCUCACCCCUGCCCCUCUCCCCGUCGGGGAGAGGGGUUGGGGGUGAGGGGUGGAGGGUGCGGUGAGGGGCUGGGGGAAGUGGCGAAAGGGGCAGUAAGGCGUGGGUAACCUACCCCGGGGACUGGGAUAGCCUUCCUAACGGAUGGGUAAUACCAGGCGAUCUGACGAGGGGACAUCUCCUUGUCAGGAAAUGAAUUUCGCCUCGGGAGGGGCUCACGUGCUAUUAGCUGGUUGGCGGGGUAACGGCCCACCAAGGCAAAGAUGGCUAGCGGGUAUGAGAGUACGACCCGCGCCACUGGCACUGAGACACUGGCCAGACACCUACGGGUGGCUGCAGUCGAGGAUCUUCGGCAAUGGGCGCAAGCCUGACCGAGCGACGCCGCGUGUGCGAUGAAGGCCUUCGGGUUGUAAAGCACUGUCGAGGGGGAGGAAAGCCGCAAGGUCUGACCUAUCCCUGGAGGAAGGACGGGCUAAGUUCGUGCCAGCAGCCGCGGUAAGACGAACCGUCCAAACGUUGUUCG